UCUCCUGGAAAACGGGUGGUAAUGCCGGAUGUUCCACAUGAUCGCAUGUGAUUGUGGGAAAGAUUCUAUCGGCGUGGGAUGGGGUCGCGUCCUAUCAGCUUGUUGGUGAGGUAACGGCUCACCAAGGCUUCGACGGGUAGCCGGCCUGAGAGGGCGACCGGCCACAUUGGGACUGAGAUACGGCCCAGACUCCUACGGGAGGCAGCAGUGGGGAAUAUUGCACAAUGGGCGCAAGCCUGAUGCAGCGACGCCGCGUGAGGGAUGGAGGCCUUCGGGUUGUAAACCUCUUUUGUUUGGGAGCAAGCCUUCGGGUGAGUGUACCUUUCGAAUAAGCGCCGGCUAACUACGUGCCAGCAGCCGCGGUAAUACGUAGGGCGCAAGCGUUAUCCGGAUUUAUUGGGCGUAAAGGGCUCGUAGGCGGCUCGUCGCGUCCGGUGUGAAAGUCCAUCGCUUAACGGUGGAUCUGCGCCGGGUACGGGCGGGCUGGAGUGCGGUAGGGGAGACUGGAAUUCCCGGUGUAACGGUGGAAUGUGUAGAUAUCGGAAAAAAAACACCA
rnacentral:rRNA from 1 species